rnacentral:rRNA from 1 species
UUGACCUCGGAUCAGGUAGGAAUACCCGCUGAACUUAAGCAUAUCAAUAAGCGGAGGAAAAGAAACCAACAGGGAUUGCCCUAGUAACGGCGAGUGAAGCGGCAACAGCUCAAAUUUGAAAUCUGGCCCUAGGCCCGAGUUGUAAUUUGCAGAGGAUGCUUCGGGCGCGGUGCCUUCCCAAGUCCCCUGGAACGGGGCGCCAGAGAGGGUGAGAGCCCCGUACGGUCGGCCGCUAAGCCUGUGUGAAGCUCCUUCGACGAGUCGAGUAGUUUGGGAAUGCUGCUCAAAAUGGGAGGUAGACCCCUUCUAAAGCUAAAUACCGGCUAGAGACCGAUAGCGCACAAGUAGAGUGAUCGAAAGAUGAAAAGAACUUUGAAAAGAGGGUUAAACAGCACGUGAAAUUGUUGAAGGGGAAGCGCUUGUGACCAGACUUGCGCCGGGGCGAUCAUCCAGCGUUCUCGCUGGUGCACUCGCCCCGGCGCAGGCCAGCGUCGGUUCGGGAGGGGGGACAAAGGUGUCUGGAACGUGGCUCCCCCGGGAGUGUUAUAGCCAGGCUCGCCAUGCCCCCGCCCGGACCGAGGUUCGCGCUCUGCAAGGACGCUGGCGUAAUGGUCACCAGCGGCCCGUCUUGAAACACGGACCAAGGAGUCGAGGUUCUGCGCGAGUGUUUGGGUGACAAACCCGCACGCGCAAUGAAAGUGAACGCAGGUGGGAGCUUCGGCGCACCACCGACCGAUCCUGAUGUUCUCGGAUGGAUUUGAGUACGAGCGUAGGGCCUCGGACCCGAAAGAUGGUGAACUAUGCUUGGAUAGGGUGAAGCCAGAGGAAACUCUGGUGGAGGCUCGCAGCGGUUCUGACGUGCAAAUCGAUCGUCAAAUCUGAGCAUGGGGGCGAAAGACUAAUCGAACCAUCUAGUAGCUGGUUACCGCCGAAGUUUCCCUCAGGAUAGCAGUGUUGUUCUUCAGUUUUAUGAGGUAAAGCGAAUGAUUAGGGACUCGGGGGCGCUAUUUAGCCUUCAUCCAUUCUCAAACUUUAAAUAUGUAAGAAGCCCUUGUUGCUUAGUUGAACGUGGGCAUUCGAAUGUACCAACACUAGUGGGCCAUUUUUGGUAAGCAGAACUGGCGAUGUGGGAUGAACCAUACGCGGGGUUAAGGUGCCGGAGUGGACGCUCAUCAGACACCACAAAAGGCGUUAGCACAUCUUGACAGCAGGACGGUGGCCAUGGAAGUCGGAAUCCGCUAAGGACUGUGUAACAACUCACCUGCCGAAUGUGCUAGCCCUGAAAAUGGAUGGCGCUCAAGCGUCCCACCCAUACCUCGCCCUCAGGGUAGGAACGAUGCCCUGAGGAGUAGGCGGCCGUGGAGGUCCGUGACGAAGCCUAGGGCGUGAGCCCGGGUCGAACGGCCUCUAGUGCAGAUCUUGGUGGUAGUAGCAAAUACUUCAAUGAGAACUUGAAGGACCGAAGUGGGGAAAGGUUCCAUGUGAACAGCGGUUGGACGUGGGUUAGUCGAUCCUAAGCCAUAGGGAAGUUCCGUUUCAAAGGGGCACUCGUGCCCCGUGUGGCGAAAGGGAAGCCGGUCAAUAUUCCGGCACCUGGAUGUGGGUUUUUCGCGGCAACGCAACCGAACGCGGAGACGGCGGCGGGGGCCCCGGGCAGAGUUCUCUUUUCUUCUUAACGGCCUGUCACCCUGGAAACAGUUUGUCUGGAGAUAGGGUUUAAUGACCGGAAGAGCCCGGCACUUCUGCUGGGUCCGGCGCGCCCCCGACGUCCCUUGAAAAUCCGCGGGAGGGAAUAAUUCUCACGCCAGGUCGUACUCAUAACCGC